rnacentral:ncRNA from 1 species
UGACAUUGUGAACAGUCAUGAGAGGUGCAGUAUGGGUGGGAGACCUUGCUCGCAAAUGAAAUGCCACCACUCUCAUCGAUUCCAUGCUUACUCAGUGGGAAGAGAAUCAAGCUUUGGCUCUCUCUUCUUUGUCUCACAUCCGAAGGUGAUUGAUUUGCUCUAAUAAUUGCACCCUUUCAAAAAACCACGGUUCAUCCGCAUAUACUGGCAUGUUCUUGUACAACCUCUGGUAUAGGCAAGUGCCA